rnacentral:rRNA from 1 species
UGGGGAAUAUUGCACAAUGGGCGCAAGCCUGAUGCAGCCAUGCCGCGUGUGUGAAGAAGGCCUUCGGGUUGUAAAGCACUUUCAGCGGGGAGGAAGGCGGUGAGGUUAAUAACCUCACCGAUUGACGUUACCCGCAGAAGAAGCACCGGCUAACUCCGUGCCAGCAGCCGCGGUAAUACGGAGGGUGCAAGCGUUAAUCGGAAUUACUGGGCGUAAAGCGCACGCAGGCGGUCGGUCAAGUCGGAUGUGAAAUCCCCGGGAUCAACCUGGGAAAUGCAUUCGAAACUGGCAGGCUAGAGUCUUGUAGAGGGGGGUAGAAUUCCAGGUGUAGCGGUGAAAUGCGUAGAGAUCUGGAGGAAUACCGAUGGCGAAGGCGGCCCCCUGGACAAAGACUGACGCUCAGGUGCGAAAGCGUGGGGAGCAAACAGG